AUUGAACGCUGGCGGCAGGCUUAACACAUGCAAGUCGAGCGGAGAUGAGGUGCUUGCACCUUAUCUUAGCGGCGGACGGGUGAGUAAUGCUUAGGAAUCUGCCUAUUAGUGGGGGACAACAUUCCGAAAGGAAUGCUAAUACCGCAUACGUCCUACGGGCGAAAGCAGGGGAUCUUCGGACCUUGCGCUAAUAGAUGAGCCUAAGUCGGAUUAGCUAGUUGGUGGGGUAAAGGACUACCAAGGCGACGAUCUGUAGCGGGUCUGAGAGGAUGAUCCGCCACACUGGGACUGAGACACGGCCCAGACUCCUACGGGAGGCAGCAGUGGGGAAUAUUGGACAAUGGGGGGAACCCUGAUCCAGCCAUGCCGCGUGUGUGAAGAAGGCCUUAUGGUUGUAAAGCACUUUAAGCGAGGAGGAGGCUACUGAGACUAAUACUCUUGGAUAGUGGACGUUACUCGCAGAAUAAGCACCGGCUAACUCUGUGCCAGCCGCCGCGGUAAGAC
rnacentral:rRNA from 1 species